UACGAAGGGUGCAAGCGUUACUCGGAAUUACUGGGCGUAAAGGGUGCGUAGGUGGUUGUUUAAGUCUGUUGUGAAAGCCCCGGGCUCAACCUGGGAAUGGCAAUGGAUACUGGACAGCUAGAGUGCGGUAGAGGGUAGUGGAAUUCCCGGUGUAGCAGUGAAAUGCGUAGAUAUCGGGAGGAACACCAGUGGCGAAGGCGGCUUCCUGGACCGGUUCUGACACUGAGGAGCGAAAGCGUGGGGAGCGAUCCGG
rnacentral:rRNA from 1 species